GACGAACGCUGGCGGCGUGCUUAACACAUGCAAGUCGAACGAGACGAUUGAAAGCUUGCUUUCGAAAGUCGAGUGGCAAACGGGUGAGUAACGCGUAGACAACCUGCCUUUGAGAUGGGGACAACAGUUCGAAAGGACUGCUAAUACCGAAUGUUGUAUAUUUUCCACAUGGAAGAUAUAUUAAAGAUGGCCUCUAUUUAUAAGCUAUCGCUCAAAGAUGGGUCUGCGUCUGAUUAGCUAGUUGGUGGGGUAACGGCCUACCAAGGCGACGUUCAGUAGCCGGUCUGAGAGGAUGAACGGCCACAUUGGGACUGAGACACGGCCCAGACUCCUACGGGAGGCAGCAGUGGGGAAUCUUCCACAAUGGACGAAAGUCUGAUGGAGCAACGCCGCGUGAGUGAAGAAGGGUUUCGGCUCGUAAAGCUCUGUUGUCGGGGACGAAUGUGCAGUAUUUGAAUAAAGUAGUGCAAUGACGGUACCUGACGAGGAAGCCACGGCUAACUACGUGCCAGCCGCCGCGGUAA
rnacentral:rRNA from 1 species